UACGGAGGGGGCUAGCGUUGUUCGGAAUUACUGGGCGUAAAGCGCACGUAGGCGGCUUUGUAAGUUAGAGGUGAAAGCCCGGAGCUCAACUUCGGAAUUGCCUUUAAGACUGCAUCGCUUGAAUCAUGGUGAGGUCAGUGGAAUUCCGAGUGUAGAGGUGAAAUUCGUAGAUAUUCGGAAGAACACCAGUGGCGAAGGCGACUGACUGGACAUGUAUUGACGCUGAGGUGCGAAAGCGUGGGGAGCAAACAGG
rnacentral:rRNA from 1 species